GCUGCGGUUAUACUUUUAAGUUAAGUUUUAUAAACGAAAAUAAUUAAAUAAAAUUUUAAUUAUUUUGUUACAAAAUAUUUUUAUAAAUUAUUAAAAUAACAAAGAUAGAUUACAGAUUCGGUAGAACCCGGCUAUGAAUUUUAUUUUAGGUAAUAAAUUAAACCUAAAUUGUGUGGCAGUUAUUUAUUCUCUUUAGAGAAUUUUGAUUAAUAAAUUGACACCCCACAAUUUUAUUUACUAAUUUAGUUUGUGUGUGGUUGUUUAAAAAUAAAUUUAUAUUUAAAUUUUUGUCCAAAUAACAUAUAGUCUAAUUUAGGAAAUUGAGAUGCUUAUAAAUAUUAAUAAUUUAAGGAUUUAAUAGUAGGAAAAAUAAAUCGAAUUAGUUAUAAACAAGGUUCAUAUUGUCCGUCACUCUUUUAGAGAUAAGUCUUA
rnacentral:rRNA from 1 species